AAAGGGAAGCGAACCUGUGAGGGGGAGCGAAUCCCAAAAAUAACGUCUCAGUUCGGAUUGUAGUCUGCAACUCGACUACAUGAAGCUGGAAUCGCUAGUAAUCGCGAAUCAGAAUGUCGCGGUGAAUACGUUCCCGGGUCUUGUACACACCGCCCGUCACACCAUGGGAGUUGGUAACGCCCGAAGUCAGUGACCCAACCGAAAGGAGGGAGCUGCCUAAGGCGGGACCGAUAACUGGGGUGAAGUCGUAACAAGGUAGC
rnacentral:rRNA from 1 species